CCUACGGGAGGCUGCAGUGGGGAAUAUUGCACAAUGGGGGAAACCCUGAUGCAGCGACGCCGCGUGAGUGAAGAAGGAUUUCGGAAUGUAAAGCUCUAUCAGCAGGGAAGAAAAGGACGGUACCUGAUUAAGAAGCCCCGGCUAACGACGGGCCAGCAGCAGCGGUAAUACGUAGGGGGCAAGCGUUAUCCGGAUUUACUGGGGGUAAAGGGAGCGUAGACGGCAGCACAAGACUGGCGUGAAAUGCCGGGGCUUAACCCCGGAACUGCUUUGGAAACUGUGCAGCUAGAGGGCAGGUGUGGUAAGUGGUAUUCCUCGUGUAGCGGUCAACUUCUUCGCUAUUACGAGGCACUCCAGUGGCGAAGGCGGCUUACUGGACUGUACCUGACGUUGAGGCUCGAACGCGUGGGUAGCAAACAGGAUUAGAUACCCUAGUAGUC
rnacentral:rRNA from 1 species